ensembl:miRNA gga-mir-12280 gga-mir-12280
CCAAGUUCCCUUACAGCCCUGCGGUAACCGCCAGGCUGUAAGGGAACUUGGC